AAAUUGAAGAGUUUGAUCAUGGCUCAGAUUGAACGCUGGCGGCAGGCCUAACACAUGCAAGUCGAGCGGAAACGAGUUAUCUGAACCUUCGGGGGACGAUAACGGCGUCGAGCGGCGGACGGGUGAGUAAUGCCUGGGAAAUUGCCCUGAUGUGGGGGAUAACCAUUGGAAACGAUGGCUAAUACCGCAUAAUAGCUUCGGCUCAAAGAGGGGGACCUUCGGGCCUCUCGCGUCAGGAUAUGCCCAGGUGGGAUUAGCUAGUUGGUGAGGUAAGGGC
rnacentral:rRNA from 1 species